rnacentral:tRNA from 1 species
UAAAAUAUAGUUCAAGUAAGAAUACUUUUUUUACAAAAAAGAGAUAAUCUUAAUAUUUAUUUUAA